AGUAACGCGUGGGCAACCUGCCCCAUAGAGGGGGACAACAGCUGGAAACGGCUGCUAAUACCGCAUAACAAGGAGAGAGCGCAUGUUCUUUUCUUCAAAGAUUUAUCGCUAUGGGAUGGACCCGCGUCUGAUUAGCUAGUUGGUGAGGUAACGGCUCACCAAGGCGACGAUCAGUAGCCGGCUUGAGAGAGUGAACGGCCACAUUGGGACUGAGACACGGCCCAGACUCCUACGGAAGGCAGCAG
rnacentral:rRNA from 1 species